rnacentral:rRNA from 1 species
UCUUCCCUCUUUCUUCGUGCCUAAUACAUGCAAGUCGAGCGAACGGACGAGAAGCUUGCUUCUCUGAUGUUAGCGGCGGACGGGUGAGUAACACGUGGAUAACCUACCUAUAAGACUGGGAUAACUUCGGGAAACCGGAGCUAAUACCGGAUGAUAUUUUGAACCGCAUGGUUCAAAAGUGAAAGACGGUCUUGCUGUCACUUAUAGAUGGAUCCGCGCUGCAUUAGCUAGUUGGUAAGGUAACGGGUUACCAAGGCAACGAUGCAUAGCCGACCUGAGAGGGUGAUCGGCCACACUGGAACUGAGACACGGUCCAGACCCCUACGGGAGGCAGCAGUAGGGAAUCUUCCGCAAUGGGCGAAAGCCUGACGGAGCAACGCCGCGUGAGUGAUGAAGGUCUUCGGAUCGUAAAACUCUGUUAUUAGGGAAGAACAUAUGUGUAAGUAACUGUGCACAUCUUGACGGUACCUAAUCAGAAAGCCACGGCUAACUACGUG